UUAAUUCGAAGCAACGCGAAGAACCUUACCUAAGCUUUACAUCCCAAUGACAUCCCCUUAACCGGAGAGUACACUUCGGGGACAUUGGUAACUGGUGGUUAAUGGUUUUCGUCAGCUCGUGUCGUGAGAUGUUGGGUUAAGUCCCGCAACGAGCGCAACCCUUGUCUUUAGUUGCCAUCAUUAAGUUGGGCACUCUAGAGAGACUGCCAGGGAUAACCUGGAGGAAGGUGGGGAUGACGUCAAAUCAUCAUGCCCCUUAUGCUUAGGGCUACACACGUGCUACAAUGGGUAGUACAGAGGGUUGCCAAGCCGUAAGGUGGAGCUAAUCCCUUAAAGCUACUCUCAGUUCGGAUUGUAGGCUGAAACUCGCCUACAUGAAGCUGGAGUUACUAGUAAUCGCAGAUCAGAAUGCUGCGGUGAAUGCGUUCCCGGGUCUUGUACACACCGCCCGUCACACCACGGGAGUUGGAGACGCCCGAAGCCGAUUAUCUAACCUUUUGGAAGAAGUCGUCGAAGGUGGAAUCAAUAACUGGGGUGAAGUCGUAACAAGGUAGCCGUAUCGGAAGGUGCGGCUGGAUCACCUCCUUUCUAAGGA
rnacentral:rRNA from 1 species